rnacentral:lncRNA from 1 species
UGAAUGCCGUACGCUAAGCACCUCAUGAUCCUAAUCAUCACGGAGAGACAGAAAAUUCUCAGCCGUUUCUCUGCAAGAACUGAAGUAACAGAACAGAACUACGCCAUGGCAAAGUUACACCUGAGAGUGGAUAACCCAAAGAUCUAUACACAGAUAGAAACUCUCUAUACUAUUAAGACCUGAAGAUUCAAAAACUACCACCAAGGUGUGCAAACAUGUCUCUUGAGACUAAAUUAAGACCAUCAGGAGCUUCACUACUAUAAUCAAAGCAUUCAAAAUUCAAUAGCCAUUACAAUUACAAUAAAUAGCAAUACUUUGCCACUAAUAACAAGAAGGAUACAAUCUUACAUUCUUACCCAGAGAUCCAAGUUGCUUGUAUAUGACAGAACUAACCAAAAAAAAAUUGUGGCUGCUAAUGAAGUAGCUAUAGAAUCAGCUAGCAGGAGGAGAUCCGGAAGUACUACUAGCACUGAAAAAGGGGCGUAGCGCAAAGAUGCAAAGUAA